rnacentral:rRNA from 1 species
AAAGCGUGCGCAGGCGGUUUUGUAAGUCUGUUGUGAAAUCCCCGGGCUCAACCUGGGAAUGGCAAUGGAGACUGCAAGGCUAGAGUUUGGCAGAGGGGGGUAGAAUUCCACGUGUAGCAGUGAAAUGCGUAGAUAUGUGGAGGAACACCGAUGGCGAAGGCAGCCCCCUGGGUCAAAACUGACGCUCAUGCACGAAAGCGUGGGGAGCAAACAGGAUUAGAUACCCCGGU